rnacentral:rRNA from 1 species
GCUCAGGAUGAACGCUGGCGGCGUGCUUAACACAUGCAAGUCGAACGAACCUUCGGGUUAGUGGCGGACGGGUGAGUAACGCGUGAGAAUCUGCCCUCAGGAGGGGGAUAACGGCUGGAAACGGCCGCUAAUACCCCAUAUGCCGAGAGGUGAAAUGAGUUUUCGCCUGAGGAUGAGCUCGCGUCUGAUUAGCUAGUUGGUGGGGUAAAGGCCUACCAAGGCGUCGAUCAGUAGCUGGUCUGAGAGGAUGAUCAGCCACACUGGGACUGAGACACGGCCCAGACUCCUACGGGAGGCAGCAGUGGGGAAUUUUCCGCAAUGGGCGAAAGCCUGACGGAGCAACGCCGCGUGAGGGAAGAAGGCCUCUGGGCUGUAAACCUCUUUUCUCAAGGAAGAAGAUCUGACGGUACUUGAGGAAUAAGCCACGGCUAACUACGUGCCAGCAGCCGCGGUAAAACGUAGGUGGCAAGCGUUAUCCGGAAUUAUUGGGCGUAAAGCGUCCGCAGGCGGUCCUUCAAGUCUGCUGUCAAAGAAUGGAGCUCAACUCCAUGGAGGCGGUGGAAACUGUUCAACUAGAGUACAGUAGGGGUAGCAGGAAUUCCCAGUGUAGCGGGGAAAUGCGUAGAUAUUGGGAAGAACAUCGGUGGCGAAGGCGUGCUACUGGGGCUGAAACUGACACUGAGGGACGAAAGCUAGGGUAGCGAAAGGGAUUAGAUACCCCUGUAGUCCUAGCCGUAAACGAUGGAUACUAGGCGUGGCUUGUAUCGACCCGAGCCGUGCCGAAGCUAACGCGUUAAGUAUCCCGCCUGGGGAGUACGCACGCAAGUGUGAAACUCAAAGGAAUUGACGGGGGCCCGCACAAGCGGUGGAGUAUGUGGUUUAAUUCGAUGCAACGCGAAGAACCUUACCAAGGCUUGACAUCCCUGGAAUCUCCUUGAAAGGGGAGAGUGCCUUAGGGAGCCAGGAGACAGGUGGUGCAUGGCUGUCGUCAGCUCGUGUCGUGAGAUGUUGGGUUAAGUCCCGCAACGAGCGCAACCCUCGUUUUUAGUUGCCAGCAUUAAGUUGGGCACUCUAGAGAGACUGCCGGUGACAAACCGGAGGAAGGUGGGGAUGACGUCAAGUCAUCAUGCCCCUUACGCCUUGGGCUACACACGUACUACAAUGGUCAGGACAACGGGCAGCCAAUCCGCGAGGACGAGCGAAUCCCAACAAACCCGGCCUCAGUUCAGAUUGCAGGCUGCAACUCGCCUGCAUGAAGGAGGAAUCGCUAGUAAUCGCAGGUCAGAAUACUGCGGUGAAUUCGUUCCCGGGCCUUGUACACACCGCCCGUCACACCAUGGGAGCUGGUCACGCCCGAAGUCGUUACUCUAACCUUUCGAGGAGGAGGGCGCCGAAGGCAGGGCUAGUGACUGGGGU